rnacentral:rRNA from 1 species
GCCAGACUCCUACGGGAGGCAGCAGUGGGGAAUAUUGCACAAUGGGGGAAACCCUGAUGCAGCGACGCCGCGUGAGUGAAGAAGUAUUUCGGUAUGUAAAGCUCUAUCAGCAGGGAAGAAAAUGACGGUACCUGAUUAAGAAGCCCCGGCUAACUACGUGCCAGCAGCCGCGGUAAUACGUAGGGGGCAAGCGUUAUCCGGAUUUACUGGGUGUAAAGGGAGCGUAGACGGUGAUGCAAGUCAGAAGUGAAAGCCCGGGGCUCAACUCCGGGACUGCUUUUGAAACUGUGUGACUGGAGUGCAGGAGAGGUAAGCGGAAUUCCUGGUGUAGCGGUGAAAUGCGUAGAUAUUAGGAGGAACACCAGUGGCGAAGGCGGCUUACUGGACUGUAACUGACGUUGAGGCUCGAAAGCGUGGGGAGCAAACAGGAUUAGAUACCCCAGUA